CCCCCGCGGAGGCGCCACCUCUAUGCGGUGCGGGGGAGCAACUGUGCCUCUGGUCGAAGGCACAGGCUAAGAGCGCC
rnacentral:ribozyme from 1 species